GAUGAACGCUGGCGGCGUGCCUAAUACAUGCAAGUCGAGCGAACAGACGAGGAGCUUGCUCCUCUGACGUUAGCGGCGGACGGGUGAGUAACACGUGGAUAACCUACCUAUAAGACUGGGAUAACUUCGGGAAACCGGAGCUAAUACCGGAUAAUAUAUUGAACCGCAUGGUUCAAUAGUGAAAGACGGUUUUGCUGUCACUUAUAGAUGGAUCCGCGCCGCAUUAGCUAGUUGGUAAGGUAAGGGCUUACCAAGGCAACGAUGCGUAGCCGACCUGAGAGGGUGAUCGGCCACACUGGAACUGAGACACGGUCCAGACUCCUACGGGAGGCAGCAGUAGGGAAUCUUCCGCAAUGGGCGAAAGCCUGACGGAGCAACGCCGCGUGAGUGAUGAAGGUCUUCGGAUCGUAAAACUCUGUUAUUAGGGAAGAACAAAUGUGUAAGUAACUAUGCACGUCUUGACGGUACCUAAUCAGAAAGCCACGGCUAACUACGUG
rnacentral:rRNA from 1 species